rnacentral:rRNA from 1 species
UACGUAGGGGGCAAGCGUUGUCCGGAAUCAUUGGGCGUAAAGAGCGCGUAGGCGGUCCGGUAAGUCCGCUCUGAAAGCCCGGGGCUCAACCCCGGGAGGCGUGCGGAUACUGUCGGGCUAGAGUCCGGAAGAGGCGAGUGGAAUUCCUGGUGUAGCGGUGAAAUGCGCAGAUAUCAGGAGGAACACCAAUUGCGAAGGCAGCUCGCUGGGACGUUACUGACGCUGAGACGCGAAAGCGUGGGGAGCGAACAGG